rnacentral:rRNA from 1 species
UUCCGGUUGAUCCUGCCGGACCUGACUGCUAUCGGAUUGGUACUAAGCCAUGUGAGUCAUUGUAGCAAUACAAGGCAGACGGCUCAGUAACACGUAGCCAACCUAACCUAUGGACGGGGAUAACCUCGGGAAACUGAGGAUAAACCCCGAUAGAUCAUAAUGCCUGGAACGGUUUAUGGUCCAAAUGAUUCGUCGCCGUAGGAUGGGACUGCGGCCUAUCAGCUUGUUGGUGAGGUAAUGGCCCACCAAGGCUAUUACAGGUACGGGCUCUGAGAGGAGGAGCCCGGAGAUGGGUACUGAGACACGGACCCAGGCCCUAUGGGGCGCAGCAGGCGAGAAACCUUUGCAAUGUGCGCAAGCACGACAAGGUUAAUCCGAGUGUUUCCUGCUAAAGGAAUCUUUUGUUAGUCCUAAAAACACUAGCGAAUAAGGGGUGGGCAAGUUCUGGUGUCAGCCGCCGCGGUAAAACCAGCACCUCAAGUGGUCAGGAGGAUUAUUGGGCCUAAAGCAUCCGUAGCCUGCUCUGUAAGUUUCCGGUUAAAUCCAUUAGCUCAACUGAUGGGCCGCCGAAAAAACUGCAGAGCUAGGGAGUGGGAGAGGUAGACGGUACUCGGUAGGAAGGGGUAAAAUCCUUUGAUCUAUUGAUGACCACCUGUGGCGAAG